rnacentral:piRNA from 1 species
UACUACCUGAUUGGUUGGGUGUGACCUA